CAGUUCAGUGGCUCAGUUGUGUCCGACUCUUUGCGACCCCGUGAACUGCAGCACGCCAGGCCUCCCUGUCCAUCACCAACUCCCGGAAUUUACUCAAACUUAUGUCCAUUGAGUCGGUGAUGCCAUCCAACCAUCUCAUCCUCUUUCGUCCUCUUCUCCUGCCUUCAAUCUUUCCCAGCAUCAGGGUCUUUUCAACUGAGUCAGCUAUUCACACCAGGUGGCCAAAGUACUGGAGUUUCAGCUUCAGGCUCAGUCCUUCCAAUGAACACUCAGGACGGAUCUUCUUUAGGAUGGACUGGUUGGAUCUCGUGGUAGUUCUAUCUUUAAUUUUUCGAGGAACCUCCAUACUGUUUCCCAGAGUGGCUGCACCAGUUUACAUUUCCACCAACGGUGCAUGGCGGGGAGGUGAAUAUUAUGAAAGGUAAUUUCGGAAACUCUCAGCAGACACACUCUAAAUAAAACUGACACUUACUCUUUGAUUGAAUGUGAGAAGGCAGUUAAAUCUCUGUCUCAAGGUAAGUAGGGGUAAAUGGGUCUGAUGACAUGAUUUUCUAAAAGCCUAAAGUCUGGAAUCCUCUUACGGAUGAAACAGAAUAAAACCUCACAGACUCCAUGGUGGAGUGGAGAGACACUGGACAAGGGUGGAACAUGGCUUUUGGUCCUGGCUUGGCUGUUUAUUACUUUCAUAACUUGGUAGAGUUGUUUAGCGUCUGUUGGUUUCACUUUUCAUAGUUGUAAGAAGUUUGCACUUUGUAUCUCAAGAAUUGUUAUGAGGGUCUGAUAGAAAAUGGCAUGAAAGUGCUUUGUCAUGGCUGUAAAUCACUCUUGGUUCUGUAUCGUGUUCGUGAAGUCUUUGAUAAAAGGCAUCAUCACUUCAGCAGAAAUCAGACGUCAGUGAUAAACUUCCCUCCUAUUUUGAUGUGUGUGAUCAGCGUGGAAGAAAGGAAUGUCAAAGGAAGGUGUAAUUUAAACAGGGAAGUAAGGAUUCUGUAUAUGUGUAAGAUUUCGAACUUCUGAGAGUUACCAUUGACAAACUAGAAGCUGAUGAGAAUGGGAAUAAACUAAGGGCCCACGUCUCUGAAUUUCUGAUGAUGAGGUGGUAUUUUUACCACUGAACCACCUGGGAAGCUCACAACAGAAUAUUACUCAGCCCAUAAAAAGGAACAGAAUUGGCUCAUCUGCAGAGGUGUGGAUAGAUCUAGAGUCUGUCAUACAGAGUGAAAGCUGAGACUAACACAGCGUCGUAAAGCAGUUACACUCUGGUAAAAAAGAGCGCGUUGUGAAUGUGAUUGAGAACCACUGUGUCAGGAUUUGAGUCCUGCAGUUAACUUUGAAGCAGAAUUCUGUGAAAUCAUCGAUAUCAGUCUCUUUUUAAAGGUAUUUUCAUAAAGUUUAUGAAGUUUAUAUUUUCUAAGCAAAUUUUAUUUGAGAGCAUUCUGUAUAUUGCUGAGUUCCCAGUAGCAGUGUUCUCAGAGUUAUUCAUGUCAUGACACAGAGAUGACGGUAUUUACAUGGAUCUCUAGGCAAACAGACUUUAUCGUUGGUGAGCAGUCAGCGGGGCUCCCAACGGCUCCUGGGGCUGAGGGAUCAUUUUAUUUUCAGUCUUCCUGACCAUGUGAGGUACACAGAGGAGGGAUGUUCUCUUUAUGGUUUCUCCGGUGAGAGGAGAAUCUGCUCUUUUAAUUCACUGCUUUCGUUCACUGCUGUUUUAUGCUAGCUAGGAUGGCAGGACUCUGACGUGAGAUUGGAUUUAGAAGAACUUGGAGUUCUAGCUUUGUGGUAUUACUGGCAACCCCUCUGAGCCUGUUUCUUUGUCUUUACAAUGUCAGCAGUAACCACCUCUCUCUUUCUACCAUGAAGCUGUGAUGGCCAAGAGAGAGAAUCAGAUACCUCAGUGUGUUUUUA